CGGUAGCUAAGUGCGGAAAAGAUAAGUGCUGAAAGCAUCUAAGCACGAAACUUGCCCCGAGAUGAGUUCUCCCUGACUCCCAGAGAGUCCUGAAGGGACGUUGAAGACGACGACGUUGAUAGGCCGGGUGUGUAAGCGCAGCGAUGCGUUGAGCUAACCGGUACUAAUGACCCGUGAGGCUUAACCUUACAACGCCAGAGGCGUUU
rnacentral:rRNA from 2 species